rnacentral:rRNA from 1 species
AACGAAUGCUAAUACCGCAUAAAAACUUUAAACACAAGUUUUAAGUUUGAAAGAUGCAAUUGCAUCACUCAAAGAUGAUCCCGCGUUGUAUUAGCUAGUUGGUGAGGUAAAGGCUCACCAAGGCGAUGAUACAUAGCCGACCUGAGAGGGUGAUCGGCCACAUUGGGACUGAGACACGGCCCAAACUCCUACGGGAGGCAGCAGUAGGGAAUCUUCGGCAAUGGACGAAAGUCUGACCGAGCAACGCCGCGUGAGUGAAGAAGGUUUUCGGAUCGUAAAACUCUGUUGGUAGAGAAGAACGUUGGUGAGAGUGGAAAGCUCAUCAAGUGACGGUAACUACCCAGAAAGGGACGGCUAACUACGUGCCAGCAGCCGCGGUAAUACGUAGGUCCCGAGCGUUGUCCGGAUUUAUUGGGCGUAAAGCGAGCGCAGGUGGUUUAUUAAGUCUGGUGUAAAAGGCAGUGGCUCAACCAUUGUAUGCAUUGGAAACUGGUAGACUUGAGUGCAGGAGAGGAGAGUGGAAUUCCAUGUGUAGCGGUGAAAUGCGUAGAUAUAUGGAGGAACACCGGUGGCGAAAGCGGCUCUCUGGCCUGUAACUGACACUGAGGCUCGAAAGCGUGGGGAGCAAACAGGAUUAGAUACCCUGGUAGUCCACGCCGUAAACGAUGAGUGCUAGAUGUAGGGAGCUAUAAGUUCUCUGUAUCGCAGCUAACGCAAUAAGCACUCCGCCUGGGGAGUACGACCGCAAGGUUGAAACUCAAAGGAAUUGACGGGGGCCCGCACAAGCGGUGGAGCAUGUGGUUUAAUUCGAAGCAACGCGAAGAACCUUACCAGGUCUUGACAUACUCGUGCUAUUCCUAGAGAUAGGAAGUUCCUUCGGGACACGGGAUACAGGUGGUGCAUGGUUGUCGUCAGCUCGUGUCGUGAGAUGUUGGGGUUAAGUCCCGCAACGAGCGCAACCCCUAUUGUUAGUUGCCAUCAUUAAGUUGGGCACUCUAACGAGACUGCCGGUGAUAAACCGGAGGAAGGUGGGGAUGACGUCAAAUCAUCAUGCCCCUUAUGACCUGGGCUACACACGUGCUACAAUGGAUGGUACAACGAGUCGCGAGACAGUGAUGUUUAGCUAAUCUCUUAAAACCAUUCUCAGUUCGGAUUGUAGGCUGCAACUCGCCUACAUGAAGUCGGAAUCGCUAGUAAUCGCGGAUCAGCACGCCGCGGUGAAUACGUUCCCGGGCCUUGUACACACCGCCCGUCACACCACGGGAGUUGGGAGUACCCGAAGUAGGUGCCUAAC